AACGAACGCUGGCGGCAUGCCUAACACAUGCAAGUCGAACGAGACCUUCGGGACUAGUGGCGCACGGGUGCGUAACGCGUGGGAACCUGCCCUUAGGUUCGGAAUAACUCCCCGAAAGGGGUGCUAAUACCGGAUAAUGUCUUCGGACCAAAGAUUUAUCGCCUUUGGAUGGGCCCGCGUUGGAUUAGCUAGUUGGUCGCGUAAAAGCCUACCAAGGCUACGAUCCAUAGCUGGUCUGAGAGGAUGAUCAGCAACACUGGGACUGGGACACGGCCCAGACUCCUACGGGAGGCAGCAGUGGGGAAUAUUGGACAAUGGGCGAAAGCCUGAUCCAGCAAUGCCGCGUGAGUGAUGAAGGCCUUAGGGUUGUAAAGCUCUUUUACCCGGGAUGAUAAUGACAGUACCGGGAGAAUAAGCUCCGGCUAACUCCGUG
rnacentral:rRNA from 1 species